rnacentral:rRNA from 1 species
UUUUAGAAUUUAAUUUAAAGUCUAACCUGCCCACUGAAUAAUUUUAAAUGGCCGCAGUAUCCUAACUGUGCAAAGGUAGCAUAAUCAUUAGUCUUUUAAUUGAAGGCUGGAAUGAAUGGUUGAAUGAAAUAUUAACUGUUUCAUAAAAAUUAUAAAUAAAAUUUUAUAUUUUAGUCAAAAAGCUAAAAUAAUUUUAAAAGACGAGAAGACCCUAUAAAUCUUUAUAUUUAAAUAAUUCUAAUUAUUUAGAUAAAUUAAAUUAUAAUUAUUUUAAAUAUUUUAUUGGGGUGAUAUUAAAAUUUAAUAAACUUUUAAUUUAUUAUUUACAUAAAUUAAUGAAUUAUUGAUCCAUUUAUUAUGAUUAAAAAUUUAAGUUACUUUAGGGAUAACAGCGUAAUUUUUUUAGAGAGUUCAUAUUGAUAAAAA